rnacentral:rRNA from 1 species
AACGAACGCUGGCGGCAUGCCUAACACAUGCAAGUCGAACGAGACCUUCGGGUCUAGUGGCGCACGGGUGCGUAACGCGUGGGAACCUGCCCUUAGGUUCGGAAUAACUCCCCGAAAGGGGUGCUAAUACCGGAUAAUGUCUUCGGACCAAAGAUUUAUCGCCUUUGGAUGGGCCCGCGUUGGAUUAGCUAGUUGGUAGGGUAAAAGCCUACCAAGGCGACGAUCCAUAGCUGGUCUGAGAGGAUGAUCAGCCACACUGGGACUGAGACACGGCCCAGACUCCUACGGGAGGGAGCAAUGGGGAAUAUUGGACAAUGGGCGAAAGCCUGAUCCAGCAAUGCCGCGUGAGUGAUGAAGGCCUUAGGGUUGUAAAGCUCUUUUACCCGGGAUGAUAAUGACAGUACCGGGAGAAUAAGCUCCGGCUAACUCCGUG